GGGCUGCUAGCUCAAUUGAUAAGAGCAUCCGGCUCAUAACCGGAGGGUUCCGAGUUCGAGUCUCGGGCGGCCCA
rnacentral:tRNA from 1 species